rnacentral:rRNA from 1 species
GGAGGAAAAGAAACCAACAGGGAUUGCCCCAGUAACGGCGAGUGAAGCGGCAACAGCUCAAAUUUGAAAUCUGGCCCCCCGGCCCGAGUUGUAAUUUGGAGAGGAUGCUUCUGGCGCGGCGCCGUCCGAGUUCCUUGGAACAGGACGCCACAGAGGGUGAGAGCCCCGUACGGACGGACGCCUAGCCUCUACGAAGCUCCUUCGACGAGUCGAGUAGUUUGGGAAUGCUGCUCAAAAUGGGAGGUAAAUUUCUUCUAAAGCUAAAUACCGGCCAGAGACCGAUAGCGCACAAGUAGAGUGAUCGAAAGAUGAAAAGCACUUUGAAAAGAGGGUUAAAAAGUACGUGAAAUUGUUGAAAGGGAAGCGCCUGUGACCAGACUUGCGCCCCGCGGACCACCCGGCGUUCUCGCCGGUGCACUCUGCGGUGCGCAGGCCAGCAUCGGUUCUCCCAGGGGGACAAAGGCCGCGGGAACGUAGCUCCUUCGGGAGUGUUAUAGCCCGCGGCGGCAUGCCCCUGGGGGGACCGAGGACCGCGCUUCGGCAAGGAUGCUGGCGUAAUGGUCACCAGCGACCCGUCUA